rnacentral:tRNA from 1 species
GAGGGUGCAGCUCAGAGGUAGAGUGCAUGCUUAGCAGGCACGAGGUCCUGGGUUCAAUCUCCAGUACCUCCA